rnacentral:rRNA from 1 species
CAGUCGCCGCGGUAAUACAGAGGGUGCGAGCGUUAAUCGGAUUUACUGGGCGUAAAGCGUGCGUAGGCGGCUUCUUAAGUCGGAUGUGAAAUCCCUGAGCUUAACUUAGGAAUUGCAUUCGAUACUGGGAAGCUAGAGUAUGGGAGAGGAUGGUAGAAUUCCAGGUGUAGCGGUGAAAUGCGUAGAAAUCUGGAGGAAUACCGAUGGCGAAGGCAGCCAUCUGGCCUAAUACUGACGCUGAGGUACGAAAGCAUGGGGAGCAAACAGGAUUAGAUACCCCAGUAGUCCCUGUCUCUUAUAC